GAGAGUUUGAUCCUGGCUCAGGACGAACGCUGGCGGCGCGCCUAACACAUGCAAGUCGAACGAGCGAGAGAGAGCUUGCUUUCUCGAGCGAGUGGCGAACGGGUGAGUAACGCGUGAGGAACCUGCCUCAAAGAGGGGGACAACAGUUGGAAACGACUGCUAAUACCGCAUAAGCCCACGACCCGGCAUCGGGUUGAGGGAAAAGGAGCAAUCCGCUUUGAGAUGGCCUCGCGUCCGAUUAGCUAGUUGGUGAGGUAACGGCCCACCAAGGCGACGAUCGGUAGCCGGACUGAGAGGUUGAACGGCCACAUUGGGACUGAGACACGGCCCAGACUCCUACGGGAGGCAGCAGUGGGGAAUAUUGCACAAUGGGGGAAACCCUGAUGCAGCGACGCCGCGUGGAGGAAGAAGGUCUUCGGAUUGUAAACUCCUGUUGUUGAGGAAGAUAAUGACGGUACUCAACAAGGAAGUGACGGCUAACUACGUGCCAGCAGCCGCGGUAAAACGUAGGUCACAAGCGUUGUCCGGAAUUACUGGGUGUAAAGGGAGCGCAGGCGGGAAGACAAGUUGGAAGUGAAAUCCAUGGGCUCAACCCAUGAACUGCUUUCAAAACUGUUUUUCUUGAGUAGUGCAGAGGUAGGCGGAAUUCCCGGUGUAGCGGUGGAAUGCGUAGAUAUCGGGAGGAACACCAGUGGCGAAGGCGGCCUACUGGGCACCAACUGACGCUGAGGCUCGAAAGUGUGGGUAGCAAACAGGAUUAGAUACCCUGGUAGUCCACACCGUAAACGAUGAUACUAGGUGUUGGAGGAUUGACCCCUUCAGUGCCGCAGUUAACACAAUAAGUAAUCCACCUGGGGAGUACGACCGCAAGGUUGAAACUCAAAGGAAUUGACGGGGGCCCGCACAAGCAGUGGAGUAUGUGGUUUAAUUCGACGCAACGCGAAGAACCUUACCAAGUCUUGACAUCCUGCGACGGUGCUGGAAACAGAACUUUCCUUCGGGACGCAGAGACAGGUGGUGCAUGGUUGUCGUCAGCUCGUGUCGUGAGAUGUUGGGUUAAGUCCCGCAACGAGCGCAACCCUUAUGGUCAGUUACUACGCAAGAGGACUCUGGCCAGACUGCCGUUGACAAAACGGAGGAAG
rnacentral:rRNA from 1 species